AGCAGCCGCGGUAAUUCCAGCUCCAAUAGCGUAUAUUAAAGUUGUUGCAGUUAAAAAGCUCGUAGUUGAAUUUCGGGAUCAAUUAGUUGGUCAUGCCGUUGGUAUGUACUGAUUUUAUUGAUUUCUCACCUUCUAAAGAACCUUAAUGUCAUUAAUUUGAUGUUUUGGGGAAUUAGGACUGUUACCUUGAAAAAAUUAGAGUGUUUAAAGCAGGCUCACGCUUGAAUACAUUAGCAUGGAAUAAUGAAAUAGGACAUCCGAUUCUAUUUUGUUGGUUUCUAGGAUCGAUGUAAUGAUUAAUAGGGAUAGUUGGGGGCAUUAGUAUUCAAUUGUCAGAGGUGAAAUUCUUGGAUUUAUUGAAGACUAACUUCUGCGAAAGCAUUUGCCAAGGAUGUUUUCAUUAAUCAAGAACGAAAGUUAGGGGAUCGAAGACGAUCAGAUACCGUCGUAGUCUUAACCAUAAACUAUGCCGACUAGGGAUCGGACGAUGUUAAAUUUUAUUGACUCGUUCGGCGCCUUACGGGAAACCAAAGUGUUUGGGUU
rnacentral:rRNA from 1 species